CUACUUUUUAGGUCCUCCAGGAAUUUAAAGCAAUCACUAAUGUGACCCUGCUUGAUGUAUUGAGAGGAGUGCUUGACCCAAUAGCCAAAAAUUUCUUCAAAGUGCGCAGAAGAAACGCCACCUUGAAGAUUUUUUUAUAGGGCUGCAGAAAAUUAAAGAUGGCGUCCCCCAGCCGGAGCAGAACGACUUGAUGCUCACCGCGGCCAUAUUUGUGCUGCCCAGCCUGGUGAAGGAACGGGUUGAGGCGUUUGUGUGCAGUCGCGAGCCUGAAGCGGCGCACGUUGUACCAACUGUCACCUACACCGGCAACAUUCUGGAGCUGCCAGAGUUUACGGUCCAGCUCGAAGCGCUGGAGAUCCAGGCGCCGAACCUACUACAAGCUGUCGCCACACAAAUGGCAUUGUACUGGACUUUUGACAUUGUUUUUUGUGCAAAAGCACAGAAAACUGUUGACCUGCUGUGCCGCCUGAUUGGUUUAAGCAGUGCCAUACAAGCGACACCACUUGUCCGUGUG